rnacentral:lncRNA from 1 species
CUCUGAGCAGCUCAGCAGAAGUGCUUUAGAUUUCAGUGUGGCCCCUGCUGUGUGAUGAUCCCAAGCAGGCCACCUGCCUUUGUGGGGGGUUUUGCUGUGUUGGUGUCCUGUUGGGAUGACAGGAGAGCCCCUCUCAGCUGGUCACCCAGGUGAAUGGGUGGAGGGCCCCGUGGGGAGGAUCUGUAUCCCAGUCUCGCCACUCACGAGCUGUGUGGCCGGGCAACUUUCCUUAACUGGUCUCUGCCUCAGUUUCCCCUUCUGGCAACCAUUGAUAAUAACAGUGUCAAUCUCAACAAGUUGUUCUGAGAAUAAAAUGAGCUAAGGUCUGUUAACUGCUUAGCAAAGUGUCUGAUGUGAAACUAUGAUACCUGUUAGGUAUUAUUAUUCUUAAUCAAAACUUACCCCCAAAAUUGAAUGCGGACAAUGAAUUCCGUUACAUUGUCAGUUCCUCACUCAGUUCAGUUGAACAAGUGAGAGCCCACGUCUGCAAGAGGGCCUGUCUGCCAGAGGUCGGUGCGGACAGAAGUUCACUGAUUCUUCCAUUUGUUGAGCAUCAUUUAUUGAGGCAUUCCUGGAAACGUUGACGGAGGCCCCACGCCUGCCUCAGACCAUGAGCUCAUUCGUUCUCUCCUUCACUUGGUGCACGUUUCCUGACCGGCCGGGAGCUAAACCAGGCCAGGAGAGGGCAGUGGGAGCGGGAGAAGCCUCAUACACUCGCUGUCACAAUGUGUGACUAUCACGUGAAAGACCAGCCCGUGUGCCAGGAGGAGUUCCAAGGAGAGGAGAGCCACGCCCUGCUGCAUGGAGAGGGAAACACUUCAUGCAAGAGGCGGAAUUUGACUAGAGUUUGUAAAGCCAGGUGGGCUUUCCACAGAUGGGUCAGAAGAUGACAGAUGGAAGAAGACACGGAGCUUGGAGAGAGAGCUAUGAAAAUCACUCCCGACCCAGAAGAGGCCUCUCCUAUGUAUCCCAGCCACGUUGUCCAGCUUCUCGUCAGGUGGGAACGCUGUUGGAAGGAGAGCUGGAAAGACACGUGAGGUUUGCCGGGAAAGUGGCCGGGAUGUCCUCUCCAGCACUGUUUUGGGGUAUGACAUGCAUUUGUUAACUUUACUGGAGGCCGGUCAGAAAUAUCGAUACUUUGUUGUGAUAAAAGGGAAACAUUGUAAAAUGUAGACCAGGAAAGAAGACUUUCUUCUUCCUGAAAAGUAUCCAUUUUUACCAUUGAAUAUUUGAAGAGUAUUCUUUUUCAGGGCAAGGUUUAUCAUUUACUUAACAGUGAAACAAUAAAGCCUUCACAUUUAAUAGGAAAAUAAACGAA